rnacentral:misc_RNA from 1 species
CCGAGUUUACAACUCCCAAACCCACUGUGAACAUACCUACUGUUGCUUCGGCGGGAUUGCCCCGGGCGCCUCGUGUGCCCCGGAUCAGGCGCCCGCCUAGGAAACUUAACUCUUGUUUUAUUUUGGAAUCUUCUGAGUAGUUUUUACAAAUAAAUAA